GGGACAGUAGCUCAAUUGGUAGAGCAAUCUGAACUUUUCUAUUACCCUAAUGGUCAAGAAAAGUUUACUACACUUAUGUGUCGCAGGUUCGAAUCCUGUCUGUCCCU
rnacentral:tRNA from 1 species